AGGGCCCAGGUUGAAGAUAUUUACUCCAGAAGAGGUUUUCACUUGUUUUGUCCAGAAUGCAGAGGGCUUGAUUAGACCUCUCCCAAGGACAGGCCUUAAGGUCAACACUGGAAACAGAACAAAGGGAUGAUUGCUGAUGGAUGCAGGAACAAUUCCUGCCCUGCCCACACAAUGGAUUGCGAUGUCUUCACCCCAGCAAGAAACCCAGCCUGCAUUUACUGCUUGAAGAAGACUGAACAGAAAGAUUUAUACUGAAUAGUUACAGCUCCAUCCCCUCUAGAAAAGGCAGACUCUCUACCAGGUCCAAACACAACUCGGAACCCUAGAGUCACCAGGCACCCCAGUCUCAUGAGUCACCUGGCUGGAGACCAUCAGCAAUGAACUAUUGGAAAUCUGGAGGCCCAGAGCCUGGUGGAGGUCUGCAUGGUGAGGACCGCACGGGCAGGCAUGCCGCGCUCCUGAUGGAGGCCUUCCUGGACAGCUCCCUUCCAUCUGUGACGCCUCCUUCCUGGACCCCUCUGGGGCUUGCAUUUCCUAUCUGCAGGAGGGGAUGCUGGGAAGUUGAGUUCUGCUCUCAGCAGCACGGUCCACCUCUUCUGUCCUUGACUCCUCGCUGGAGCUGCACUCCAGGGUGGAUCUCCCGGCUGAACUACUGACCCAGCAAGAGCAAGCUGAGCCCACUGAGGCAGAACCCAAGGCUGCAGGGCCAGCUCCAGCCCAAACUGAAGUCCCACCUGUAGAGUGUGUGCCAGCUCCACCUGCAGCGCCCUCAUCAGCUCUGGCACCACAGCCAGAGCCAGUGCCAGGAACUCCUCCUCCCCCAGUGGCACCGCAUGGGCUCCUGGUGGUUGCAGGGCAGGAGUCAGCUCCUGAGCUGUUCCCAUCCAUUACUCUUGGUCGUGUUUUGGCAUAUAUUUUUGCUCUUAUUCUCUGGAUUUAUAUAAACAACAGAAUUAUUUUUAAAUGAAAGCAGAGAUUUUAGUCUUGUUUAAAAUGAUUAGCUGGGUGGCAUGAAGUGCAUUCUCUCUGCUCUACACCAGUCACCACUGCCAGAGCAUUUUCCUCAGUGCUGUUCCGGUGAGUGGUGCCUCUUCUCUUCCCAGCUGAUAGUCCCUGGCCACCACUCAUCUUCUGUCCCCAUAAUUUACCUAUCCUACAUUUUUCAUAGUAUUGCAUUCAGAGUUCCCUUUGGGCACAGAAUCCUGGAAGGGACAGAUGAAUCUUGCUUUCUGUAGAAGGGAAAAUCCUAGAUAGAUCCUGUCCAAUUUUCAUUCACCUAUUCAGUAAAUCACCAGUUAUUUUUGUC